UACGUACUCCCUCCGUUCGGAAUUACUUGUCUCGGAAAUGAAUGUAUCUAGAACUAAAAUACAUCUAGAUACAUCCAUUUCUGCGACAAGUAAUUCCGAACGGAGGGAGUAGCUG
rnacentral:pre_miRNA from 1 species